AGUGAACGCUGGCGGUAGGCCUAACACAUGCAAGUCGAACGGCAGCACAGGAGAGCUUGCUCUCUGGGUGGCGAGUGGCGGACGGGUGAGGAAUACAUCGGAAUCUACUUUUUCGUGGGGGAUAACGUAGGGAAACUUACGCUAAUACCGCAUACGACCUACGGGUGAAAGCAGGGGACCUUCGGGCCUUGCGCGAUUGAAUGAGCCGAUGUCGAAUUAGCUAGUUGGCGGGGUAAAGGCCCACCAAGGCGACGAUCCGUAGCUGGUCUGAGAGGAUGAUAAGCCACACUGGAACUGAGACACGGUCCAGACUCCUACGGGAGGCAGCAGUGGGGAAUAUUGGACAAUGGGCGCAAGCCUGAUCCAGCCAUACCGCGUGGGUGAAGAAGGCCUUCGGGUUGUAAAGCCCUUUUGUUGGGAAAGAAAUCCAGCUGGCUAAUACCCGGUUGGGAUGACGGUACCCAAAGAAUAAGCACCGGCUAACUUCGUGCCAGCCGCCGCGGUAA
rnacentral:rRNA from 1 species